CUUGAACUUGAAUUUGAUAACUGAUUCUUUCAAAAUCUUCACUCACUGUUCUGGGAGAUAACUUCUCCAAACUUGAGAAAGAGUUGAGCAUCUGAAGUGCUCAUGGAAGGACAGUUGACCAAAUGAGGAGUCUUGAGAUUUGCAUACUCAUCCAUGUAGCAUGGAACUUUGGCAGAUGGAUGAGAUGCCGGCUGUAGAGGAGUUAGUUGUUUCGCGGGAGCGACUGACGGCAUGAGACUUCCUAAUACACGUGAAACUUCAUGCAUCGUUGGUCUAUCGGCUGGCUGCCUCUUUGUGCAUAAUAGAGCAAGCUGAAAAACUUUCUUUACUGCUCCUAGGUCCUUGCAUGUGGCAGUUACGUCGGGAUCAACCGUUUCCAUUACUGCAUUGCUAGCUGUCUUGGACAAAAUCUGCAAAAAUUAAGAUAGUCGUAAUCAUAUGAAAAUGAAAUCAGAUAGACAAUGUGGGAGCAAGAAAAUAAAUAGCCAACAGUCUCUGAAUACAGUCUGCAAUUCUUAAAAGCUUCAUUCAUAGAAAUUCAGAAGUCAAAGGAUAGCAAAAUGCCUCAUUCAAGUACACAAAAUACUAAUACAAUGAAGUAUAGAUUGAUAUUUUAGCAUAUUGGAAAUGCAACCUGUUGGGCAUGCUUAUAGUUUACUGAUUAGCGGCCAGGUCACUCAUGAUACGUUUCAGGUGUAAUCUAGUAAAUUGGAUCAUAAUAUCUAAACACAUAUUCUAAUUGAUAAACCUUAAGAAUGUGUGUUAUUUGUUUGUGCUUUUCAUAUCUGUUUACUUUUGAAUCCAGUGUUGUUUGUUGUUCUAAC
rnacentral:lncRNA from 1 species